rnacentral:rRNA from 1 species
GACUCCUACGGGAGGCAGCAGUGAGGAAUAUUGGACAAUGGAGGCAACUCUGAUCCAGCCAUGCCGCGUGCAGGAAGACUGCCCUAUGGGUUGUAAACUGCUUUUAUACAGGAAGAAACACUCGGACGUGUCCGAGCUUGACGGUACUGUAAGAAUAAGGAUCGGCUAACUCCGUGCCAGCAGCCGCGGUAAU